AACAUUGAGAAACCAGAGUAGUUUUCUUCACUCCAUACUCCAAUAUUAUCAGUCAUCCGUGUUCAGUUUGGCGACAUGUGGCAGUUAUUGAAGUCUCUUCAUUAUCGACAACCUCGACCAGCUAUCCGUGUUCGUCGACAGUUCCAUGGGUGGAUUCCAUCGAUAUCGUUCCGAGCUUGAUGCAAUGGAGGCUAAGCUUGCUUCAUGGUCGUUUGCUUUUGUUUUUGUAACUUUUUCAAAUGUAUCGCAGUGUCAGCUAUCACUCUUGCAUUUGAGCUUUACUGGGGGGAGCCCAUGCGAGAAGGGGAGGCGGGCUUGGUUUUAUUUUUUCACAUCUAAACCCAGCAUUCAAGUGUUGAUUCUUUUGUGGGUGAAUCAGCUUCAUGGACAUUUUCCCUAACCCUAUUGCAUACUAGAUGCCUGGAGAAGUUGAGGAAAGAGGUGAAUGACCAUUGGUGUUGUGAACCUGGUUUAACGCAUCUGGAAAUGGUUAGUAGAGAAUACCAUAUCUGGAAAUGGUACGUGUUUCUGAUUAAUGAUAAACUUUUCAGUGAUCAGUUUAUGCACCAUCUUUGGAUCAUGGUGUUGGAGAUCCAGAAGAUGGAUAUCUUUGUGAGCCUGCAGCAUAUAAAGUGGCCAUAGUUGAAGGAAAUUAUCUAUUGUUGGAAGAUGGGGCUUGGAAGGAUGUGUCUUCAAUGUUCGAUGAGAAAUUAAGUGUUAUGUUCUUGCUAGGCUAGGACGUGUCUUCAAUGUUUGAUGAGAAAUGGUAAGUGUUAUGUUCUUGCUAGGUUAUUUUCCUUCUCUAUUUUGUCGUGGAGCAGAUAUAUAUGCUGAGUAUUCAUGCCAAAUUUUUUUCAUUAGUGUUAUUUUCCCUAGUUUUUAUACGUCUGACAGGGCUGGCAUGUAGCAAUAAUGUUGAGAGCUGUAUCAUGCUUAAGGGCAACUUUGCAUUCUUAAGUUCUGCUUCCGAGAGCUUUUCUCACGUGGUUCAAAUCAGUGUUUCAAAAUAUGUUUUAUGAAUGUCCUCCCUUGGCACGAGACAGAAUUUCAGGGUCACUUUGAACCUUGUAUCUUUACAUUGGAUUAUCCUCUCAUGAUGCUGUCCAUGCCAGAAUAUGGAAUCAAAAGCACAAGAAAAAUGAAGAUUAAGUCUGGAAGUUAGAUGUAUAACGAUACACACUGUUGGGAUGCAACAUGGUCUUUAGAUCACAAUGUGUUGCAAACCUGCAGUCCAUUUCAGUUAACAUCAUCUUGGGUUCGUGCUACUGUUUGGAUUAGUAACUGCUGUUUCCCUUGCUUUGCUAAUUUAUGAAACCAGACGUGAGGAAUUGGCACUUAAUUCUUACAGAUAGGACAACGAGCAGCGUAAUGCAGAGCUGAUUAUCAAGUCAAAGAAAAAUGCAGAUUUAGUAAUCAGGUCUAUCAAUUUCUAGAAUUGAUAUGAUGAAUUAAUGGAGAAAGAGAAAUGAGAUCACAUUUUCCUGUUAGGCGUUAACUUAAUGGAAACUGAAAAAAUGAAUAAAUAAAUGAAGGAUAUGGCUGCUUCUUUUUUCUCCUUGCUUCUAACAUUUUCAUUCACAUGUUCAUUUGUUACUUCAAGAUUCAGACUAACCAAGUUAUUCAAAAUGCAGUUUUUUAUAGAAGCAAGUUAAUGCCUGGUUCCCUUUAUAGUUUGUACAGAGAGAAGUCAAUAGACUGUAAAACCUGAUUCCUUUGGGCACCUAACACGGGAAAUUGUGAUCUGAUUAAUUGAUUUGUGGCACAUAGUUGGAAACUACUUUAGUUGCUUGUUAAGCAUAAUAGCCUCUCACUGACCAAGUAAAUAAUUGCUGUACAAAGAGAUGCCUUGAUUGUUUUACAGAUAAUGCGUUGCAAAAUGUUUCUCGAGAUAGUUGCUUAUGACCUUUAUGUGCUGCUCUCUUCUUUGUUCUUAAAAUUCUAAAGUGGUUUGACUGUUGAAUUUCUGGGGACAAACCGCAGCCUCUGUUAAAGGUAAAUGGAAUUAUUCUAUAUUCCAUAUGUGAAAUAUAUUGCUCACCCUUGGGCUGCAUAAUGUUGCGUGAGACAAGUCGGAACAUGGUCUGGAGGCUGCAUGACAUGUUGCUUGAAUGCAUUAGAAAGCCCAUUCAUUUCCCACGAAGUCGGGCUAAUUUCUCCUCCAAGAACAAAAGACGAUGGCAGAUUGGUGUCCAGAUUUCCAAACAACAAAAGCCGAAGAAUACGUGUGGCUUACGGGUAAUUUGAUUAUUUAUUUGUUUAUUUUCUUAGGGUAUCAUGUUAUUUGGAUGUGAAAGGAGAUGCUUCCAUAGUACCUUUUUGUAUCUUGAAACAUUCUUCACCGUUAUCAGCUUGAUGUGCAGUUUCAUGGCUACCCUGUUCGUCUCUAAACCUAGCUGCACUUUUUACGCUUUUCUAUCCAUCAAACAAAAGCAACUUGUGAGAGUCAAACAAGAGAGAGGAGGAGUUGGGAAGCAAGACAAUACAUAAAUUGCACAGAUAAAUUUAAGAAAGCUUUGCUACAAGGUUAGGGG